AGUGAGUAAACAGAUACCAUCUAAACUAUCUAAAGUCGAGUAAAUGGAGACAAUUGAAAUAAGUCAUCAUACUGUAAUUUCAUUACCUUUCAACUCAUUUCAACCAAAUAAAAUCAAUCCAUAUAAAUCGAGUAAUAAACUUGGCUUAUGAAUUUCUUAAAACUUUGGCUCGUGCCAAAACUCAUACUCGGUGAUACCUUGCGCAGGGCAUCCAACCGAGUCCACCAAGGCUGUUAAAAUUUUUUGUAUACACUUAAAAUAUAUUUUUAGUUUGAG
rnacentral:lncRNA from 1 species